rnacentral:ribozyme from 16 species
AUUUUUUUUUUUUUUCCUUUUCUUUUUCUCCCUUUUCCUUCUUUUUUUUUUUUCUUAUUCGCUCAUCAGCGCUUUUUUAAAAUUAAGCAGCAGGG